UAAGGAUGAUCAAGAAUUGGAAGUCUUCAUAAAGUGAAAGCAUUCCUUUUUGAUCUCAUUAGACAUAAAGGUUUAAAUCAGUCCGUUUAAACAAGCAGACAAUUUAAACCUUGUGCAUAUGAACACGCACUUUAAAAAAAUGGUUCUUUCUUUCAAAGAGGCCCCUAUCUCUUAUGAAAGUUCCCACUUUCAAGGUGCUGUGCUCAUGUGUUAAGAUAUAUAAGCAGGCUAGCCGUCUUCGUUUCUCUUUCUUCAGAUGAUGAUCCCAAGCCUUCUGGCGAUCUAGACAAAACAAGCCUUAACUUAGGCUUUCAAAAAACACUUUUGUUUUUAUGAAAUGAUGUGUUUUUAUGAGAUUAUGCCGGGGAAGGUUUUCCGGUUUAUCCCGGAGGGCUUG
rnacentral:misc_RNA from 1 species